rnacentral:rRNA from 1 species
AUGGGUCCCCGGAAGCCGCGGGUGGUGCUCUACCCGUCGCCGGGCAUGGGGCAUCUGGUCUCCAUGAUCGAGCUCGGCAAGCUCUUCGCGGCUCGUGGACUGGCCGUCACCGUCGCCCUCGUCGACUCGCCGCACGACACCAGCGCCACGGGUCCUUUCCUCGCCGGCGUCUCCGCGGCCAACCCCUCCAUCUCUUUCCACCGUCUACCACAAGUCAAGCUCCUCGGGUCUGAGCCGCCGGAGAUGCUAACCUUCGAGGUUGUCCGCCUCUCCAACACGCACCUCCGUGAGUUCCUCGCCGGCGACACCCCGGCCGUCAUCGUGCUGGACUUCUUCUGCAGCGUCGCCAUCGACGUGGCCACGGAGCUCGGCAUCCCCGCCUACUUCUUCUGCACCUCUGGAGCCCAGAUCCUGGCUUUCUUCUUGCACCUCGCGGUUCUGCACGGCAAGAGCACGAGGAGCUUCGGGGAAAUGGGCCAGGAACUUGUGCACUCUCCGGGAAUCACCUCGUUCCCGGCGACGCACGUCAUUCAGCGGCUUAUGGAUCGUGACAGCGCGCCCUACAAAGCAUUUCUAAACAUGAGCACCAACCUGUUCCGGUCCCAGGGGAUCAUCGUCAAUACCUUCCGCUUGCUGGAGCCGCGUGCCAUGGACACCAUCGUUGCCGGACUCUGUGCACCGUCCGGACUCCGGACGCCCCCGGUCUACUGUAUUGGGCCACUGAUCAAGUCGGAGGAGGUGGAUGUGAAGCGCGGUGACGAGAGUCUCGCGUGGCUGGACACGCAGCCCAAGGGCAGCGUGGUCUUCCUCUCCUUUGGCAGCCUUGGCCGGUUCAGCGCCAAGCAGACGAGGAAGGUGGCCGCCGGGUUGGAAGCCAGUGGACAGAGGUUCCUGUGGGUGGUGCGGAGCCCGCCAAGCGCCUACUCGUCGAAGAACUCCGAGAAGCCGCCUGAGCCGGACUUGGAUGCUCUCCUCCCGCAGGGUUUCCUUGAAAGGACCCGGGGCAGGGGCCUCGUCGUGAAGUCAUGGGCGCCGCAACGCGACGUGCUGGCACACGAUGCGGUUGGUUGUUUUGUGACAGACUGUGGGUGA